GGUUCUAUAGAGUAGUGGUUAGCACAUCUGCUUUACAUGUAGAAGGUCUUGGGUUCAAGCCCCAGUGGAGCCA
rnacentral:tRNA from 1 species